rnacentral:rRNA from 1 species
UAGGGGCCCAGCGUUGUCCGGAUUUAUUGGGCGUAAAGAGCUCGUAGGCGGCUCGGUAAGUCGGGUGUGAAACCUCCAGGCUCAACCUGGAGACGCCACUCGAUACUGCUGUGGCUAGAGUCCGGUAGGGGAGCGUGGAAUUCCUGGUGUAGCGGUGAAAUGCGCAGAUAUCAGGAGGAACACCAGCGGCGAAGGCGGCGCUCUGGGCCGGAACUGACGCUGAGGAGCGAAAGCGUGGGUAGCAAACAGG